rnacentral:rRNA from 1 species
CUUUUCGUCGCAUGACGAAAAAAGAAGAAAAGGAUGGCCUCUAUCAAAGCUAUCGCCGAAGAGGGGUUUUGCGUCUGAUUAGCUGGUUGGAGGGGUAACGGCCCCAACAAAGGCGAUGAUCAGUAGCCGGUCUGAGAGGAUGAACGGCCACAUUGGGACUGAGACACGGCCCAGACUCCUACGGGAGGCAGCAGUGGGGAAUCUUCCGCAAUGGACGAAAGUCUGACGGAGCAACGCCGCGUGAGUGAAGAAGGUCUUCGGAUUGUAAAGCUCUGUUAUACGGGACGAAAAAGACGGAUGCCAACAGUAUCCGUCCGUGACGGUACCGUAAGAGAAAGCCACGGGCUAACUACGUGCCAGCAGCCGCGGUAAAU